rnacentral:rRNA from 1 species
GAUGAACGCUGGCGGCGUGCUUAACACAUGCAAGUCAAACGAAACACCUUAUUUGAUUUUCUUCGGCCCUGAAUAUUUGGUGAUUGAGUGGCGGACGGGUGAGUAACGCGUGGGUAACCUGCCCUGUACAGGGGGAUAACAGUCAGAAAUGACUGCUAAUACCGCAUAAGACCACCCCACCGCAUGGCGCAGGGGAAAAAACUCCGGUGGUACAGGAUGGACCCGCGUCUGAUUAGCUGGUUGGUGAGGUAACGGCUCACCAAGGCGACGAUCAGUAGCCGGCUUGAGAGAGUGAACGGCCACAUUGGGACUGAGACACGGCCCAAACUCCUACGGGAGGCAGCAGUGGGGAAUAUUGCACAAUGGGGGAAACCCUGAUGCAGCGACGCCGCGUGAGUGAAGAAGUAUCUCGGUAUGUAAAGCUCUAUCAGCAGGGAAGAAAAUGACGGUACCUGACUAAGAAGCCCCGGCUAACUACGUGCCAGCAGCCGCGGUAAUACGUAGGGGGCAAGCGUUAUCCGGAAUUACUGGGUGUAAAGGGGGCGUAGGUGGUAUGGCAAGUCAGAAGUGAAAACCCAGGGCUUAACUCUGGGACUGCUUUUUGAAACUGUCAGAUUAGAGUGCAGGAGAGGUAAGCGGAAUUCCUAGUGUAGCGGUGAAAUGCGUAGAUAUUAGGAGGAACAUCAGUGGCGAAGGCGGCUU